CCUACGGGUCGCACCAGUGGGGAAUAUUGCACAAUGGGCGCAAGCCUGAUGCAGCCAUGCCGCGUGUAUGAAGAAGGCCUUCGGGUUGUAAAGUACUUUCAGCGAGGAGGAAGGCAUUAAGAUUAAUAACCUUGGUGAUUGACGUUACUCGCAGAAGAAGCACCGGCUAACUCCGUGCCAGCAGCCGCGGUAAUACGGAGGGUGCAAGCGUUAAUCGGAAUUACUGGGCGUAAAGCGCACGCAGGCGGUCUGUCAAGUCGGAUGUGAAAUCCCCGGGCUCAACCUGGGAACUGCAUUCGAAACUGGCAGGCUGGAGUCUUGUAGAGGGGGGUAGAAUUCCAGGUGUAGCGGUGAAAUGCGUAGAGAUCUGGAGGAAUACCGGUGGCGAAGGCGGCCCCCCUGGACAAAGACUGACGCUCAGGUGCGAAAGCGUGGGGAGCAAACAGGAUUAGAUACCCCAGUAGUC
rnacentral:rRNA from 1 species